rnacentral:rRNA from 1 species
UACGGAGGGUGCAAGCGUUAUCCGGAUUCACUGGGUUUAAAGGGUGCGUAGGUGGGCAGGUAAGUCAGUGGUGAAAUCUCCGGGCUUAACUCGGAAACUGCCAUUGAUACUAUCUGUCUUGAAUACCGUGGAGGUUAGCGGAAUAUGUCAUGUAGCGGUGAAAUGCUUAGAUAUGACAUAGAACACCAAUUGCGAAGGCAGCUGGCUACACGAAUAUUGACACUGAUGCGCGAAAGCGUGGGGAUCAAACAGG